UCACCGUAUGUAUUCCUAUGUAUAUACAGGAUGUUCCGAAAUCUGCCUUUACCUUUAUGGACUUAGUCGGACAAGUGACGAAUGGAAAUUUUUCCGCCGGGACGUACGGAUAAAAUGGCCACCGUGAGCUUGAUGACUGGCGGCAAUUUAAAAAAAUUGGAACACCAAAAUGAUCAAUGCGAAAAAUAUGGAAAUAUCGAUUACCAGUCUCACAAAUUAUGCCAGGCAAGGAGCGAUUGUUAUUUGCAUCAUAAGAAAUUACAAUAAAAUGUUACACUUACAACUUUAUUAGCAUAACAUAUCUCGAAGAGAAUUAAUUCUUCUCAAACUUGAUUCCUACUUUUUUUUCCUCCUCUUUUCGUUAGCCGCAGCGUUUAUAAGAUAUACUUUUGUACUUACGUUUUUUCUGUACAGGUGUGCACGAGUAAGAAACAAAGUCUGCCUACAGUAAUCUCACCGUUGACUGGUCAAGUUACUCGAGUUCAAAGUGUCUUUGUGAUCAUUGUCACAAUUUAUUAUUGUAAAUGUUAUUUACACAUAUGUCUAAGCUUCAAACAGCUUUAGAUCUUCCAUUAUCCCUUUUCGGUCUAUGAUGGAGGGGCGAUUCUUUUGGUUGAUUACCUUCAACUGUGUUGUAACAAAUAUAGUAACUAAUAUUAGUGGAUUUAUAAUUAAUAUUCUGAGAAUUGACAACGCAAUAAAUGUAACAUAAUAAUAUAUAAGUGUAUACUCAUUAUUUUUUUACCAUAGUACGAUAGUUUCCGAUUUACCGUAGAUACAUAUACGCGUAGUGUAUAUAUGUAUGUAUGUAUGUGUAUGUGUAUGCGUAUGUGUUUGUCAUGUACAUAUACCUAAAGCUUUUAAUAUAUACGCGAGAUAUUCCGCUUCAGACAUAUUUCUGAGAGAGGAAAAUUUAUCGCAUUGUCUCGAUUUUUUUUCUAUAUAUAUAGUUUUAUAUUUAUGUAUCUAUAUACGUAGA